AUUGAACGCUGGCGGCAUGCUUUACACAUGCAAGUCGAACGGUAACAGGCCUUCGGGUGCUGACGAGUGGCGAACGGGUGAGUAAUGCAUCGGAACGUACCCAGAGGUGGGGGAUAACGCAGCGAAAGCUGUGCUAAUACCGCAUGUGAUCUGAGGAUGAAAGCGGGGGACCGAGCAGCAAUGUUUGGCCUCGCGCCUUUGGAGCGGCCGAUGUCGGAUUAGCUAGUUGGUGGGGUAAAGGCCUACCAAGGCGACGAUCCGCAGCUGGUCUGAGAGGACGACCAGCCACACUGGGACUGAGCCACGGCCCAGACUCCUACGGGAGGCAGCAGUGGGGAAUUUUGGACAAUGGGCGCAAGCCUGAUCCAGCAAUGCCGCGUGCGGGAAGAAGGCCUUCGGGUUGUAAACCGCUUUUGGCAGGAACGAAACGGUGUCCGCUAAUACCGGGCGCUAAUGACGGUACCUGCAGAAUAAGCACCGGCUAACUACGUG
rnacentral:rRNA from 1 species